rnacentral:tRNA from 1 species
AGGAAUAUAAUUCAAGUGAUAGAGUGCCUGCCUAGCAAGCACAAAACCCUGAGUUUAAAACUCAGUAUUGCCA